rnacentral:rRNA from 1 species
UCAGGAUGAACGCUAGCUACAGGCUUAACACAUGCAAGUCGAGGGGCAGCAUUUUAGUUUGCUUGCAAACUGAAGAUGGCGACCGGCGCACGGGUGAGUAACACGUAUCCAACCUGCCGAUAACUCCGGAAUAGCCUUUCGAAAGAAAGAUUAAUACCGGAUAGCAUACGAAUAUCGCAUGAUAUUUUUAUUGAAGAAUUUCGGUUAUCGAUGGGGAUGCGUUCCAUUAGUUUGUUGGCGGGGUAACGGCCCACCAAGACUACGAUGGAUAGGGGUUCUGAGAGGAAGGUCCCCCACAUUGGAACUGAGACACGGUCCAAACUCCUACGGGAGGCAGCAGUGAGGAAUAUUGGUCAAUGGGCGAGAGCCUGAACCAGCCAAGUAGCGUGAAGGAUGAAGGCUCUAUGGGUCGUAAACUUCUUUUAUAUGGGAAUAAAGUUUUCCACGUGUGGAAUUUUGUAUGUACCAUAUGAAUAAGGAUCGGCUAACUCCGUGCCAGCAGCCGCGGUAAUACGGAGGAUCCGAGCGUUAUCCGGAUUUAUUGGGUUUAAAGGGAGCGUAGGUGGAUUGUUAAGUCAGUUGUGAAAGUUUGCGGCUCAACCGUAAAAUUGCAGUUGAAACUGGCAGCCUUGAGUACAGUAGAGGUGGGCGGAAUUCGUGGUGUAGCGGUGAAAUGCUUAGAUAUCACGAAGAACUCCGAUUGCGAAGGCAGCUCACUAGACUGUCACUGACACUGAUGCUCGAAAGUGUGGGUAUCAAACAGGAUUAGAUACCCUGGUAGUCCACACAGUAAACGAUGAAUACUCGCUGUUUGCGAUAUACAGUAAGCGGCCAAGCGAAAGCAUUAAGUAUUCCACCUGGGGAGUACGCCGGCAACGGUGAAACUCAAAGGAAUUGACGGGGGCCCGCACAAGCGGAGGAACAUGUGGUUUAAUUCGAUGAUACGCGAGGAACCUUACCCGGGCUUAAAUUGCAACAGAAUAUAUUGGAAACAGUAUGGCCGUAAGGCUGUUGUGAAGGUGCUGCAUGGUUGUCGUCAGCUCGUGCCGUGAGGUGUCGGCUUAAGUGCCAUAACGAGCGCAACCCUUAUCUUUAGUUACUAACAGGUGAUGCUGAGGACUCUAGAGAGACUGCCGUCGUAAGAUGUGAGGAAGGUGGGGAUGACGUCAAAUCAGCACGGCCCUUACGUCCGGGGCUACACACGUGUUACAAUGGGGGGUACAGAAGGCGGCUACCUGGUGACAGGAUGCUAAUCCCAAAAACCUCUCUCAGUUCGGAUCGAAGUCUGCAACCCGACUUCGUGAAGCUGGAUUCGCUAGUAAUCGCGCAUCAGCCAUGGCGCGGUGAAUACGUUCCCGGGCCUUGUACACACCGCCCGUCAAGCCAUGAAAGCCGGGGGUACCUGAAGUACGUAACCGCAAGGAGCGUCCUAGGGUAAAACUGGUA